CAAAAAAUAGUUUAUAUAGAAUAUUAAUUUUGGAGAUUAAAGGUAUGAAAUUAAAAAUUAUUUUUUUGA
rnacentral:tRNA from 2 species